ensembl:piRNA 21ur-3399 ncRNA
UGAUAAGCUAUGAAAAGAACG